GAUGAACGCUGGCGGCGUGCCUAAUACAUGCAAGUCGAGCGAACGGACGAGAAGCUUGCUUCUCUGAUGUUAGCGGCGGACGGGUGAGUAACACGUGGAUAACCUACCUAUAAGACUGGGAUAACUUCGGGAAACCGGAGCUAAUACCGGAUGAUAUUUUGAACCGCAUGGUUCAAAAGUGAAAGACGGUCUUGCUGUCACUUAUAGAUGGAUCCGCGCUGCAUUAGCUAGUUGGUAAGGUAACGGCUUACCAAGGCAACGAUGCAUAGCCGACCUGAGAGGGGGAGCGGCGACGCUGGAGCGGAGACGCGGGCCAGACGCGUGCGGGAGGGAGCAGUAGGGAAUCGUCCGCAAUGGGCGAAAGGCUGACGGAGCAACGCCGCGUGAGUGAUGAAGGUCUUCGGAUCGUAAAACUCUGUUAUUAGGGAAGAACAUAUGUGUAAGUAACUGUGCACAUCUUGACGGUACCUAAUCAGAAAGCCACGGCUAACUACGUG
rnacentral:rRNA from 1 species